AUGGAAAUUCCCAGGCUACAGGUUGAAUUGGAGCUGCAGCUGCUGGCCUACACCACAGCCACAGCAACGUGGGAUCCAAGCCAUACCUGCAACCUACACCACAACUCAUGGCAACGUCAGAUCCUUAACCCACUGAGCAAGGCCAGGGAUAGAACCUGCAUCCUCAUGCAUGCUAGUCAGUUUCACUAACUGCUGAGCCAUGAUGGGAACUCCAACCUUGUCCACUUUCUAUCAUCACUCUUUACUUUUUUCUGUGCCAAGGGAGGCUAAACCCUGUAUUGGGCAUGAACCAGACUCCAUUACUGGCUACUUCCAGUUGGCAUACUCAGCAGGAGGCACUGUGGUGGAGACCAGAAUGCAGGAAUGGCUGUUCCCUCCCUGCUUUGUCACCUCCCUGCCUCUGGCUCCUACUGCGUGGCUCCAGUUUUGGAUGGAUUCUAAAAAAAUAAUUCUUCUACUUCUCCCUUUGACCCUGGAGUCAUAAAAGCUUCCACUGUCUCUUACUUCAAAAUAGCCCUUCCCCUACAUGGUAAGGAGGCAGUGUGAGAAUUCUGCAAGGUGCUAAGUAUAUCUAUUCUGACUCUGCAUUCAGAAACUUGGUACGACCCAUGUGUGUUUCCUUGGGCUCACAGAACCCACUAUGAGAUAACUUCUGCCCAAACUCUACCUGCCACCUGACGUCUAAAGUCACCAGGCUCUUCCCUAAUCCUUAUAACCAUUGGAUCCUGGUGAUGCGUCAAGUCAUCAGGGAUUAAGAUAAACUCAGAGCCAGUGUUGGGAAACUCCUAGGGCAUCUGGAUAUUUACUAUUUCCUCAUUCACAGUUACUGUGGUCAAUGACUGUUGUCCCUCUAGUGAAGCACAGAAGAAAAUGUAAGCAUAUGUUUGAGGUGUGGGGGAAAGCCCUCAAUAGUUUAUCCCUUCAUCAGUGUACUCUAAGUCCAUGAACUGGCUCAGUUCUAAGAAGUGAGUGAAAGAUUUUGAAUUACUACUAUGGCAGUCCUGGUAUUUUCUGCCCACCAUGCUGGAGUCUUUGCAAAUGAUUUAGCUUAAGCGAUACCCUUUUAGGCUGCCUACCUGGUAUUAUUUGAUCCAGCAAAUCAUAAGCUGAGCACAGGCAUCAGUAUUUCAUUGCUGAAUGUCCUAAGCAGGUGCAUAAAAUAUGAAAGAAUUGCAGGAGCAAGUGUGCCAGAUCCACACUUGCUGUUUUGUGGUCUUCCUCAGCUUACAUCUGUGACUUAGUGGGACAGCCACCUAACCAGUACAACCAGUUAUCCAGAGAGGGGAAAGUUAAGGCAUAGUUUUUGUUUGUUUGUUUGCUUAUUUUUUGGUUCAUCGGCAUAAGUUGUGGUUGGGUAGAAGUGGAUUUAUUGUGUUAUAGCCCACUCAAAAAUGCCCUUGAUAGAUGGCUGUGAAAUAAGAUUUUCCUGGUAGUGAUGAUCAUGGGAACAUAUCUGGUGGUCCACAUCGUUUUGUAGAAAAGGAAUUUGACGUAUGAAUUUAUACUGAAUAAUGAAUAUUGGAUAAGGAUUUGGCCAGGUGAAAGAAUAAGCUUAGCGACAAAGUGAUCUUUUGAAGGAGUCAUUGUUUCUGUUUUGUGGAGUGGGCACAAGGUGCAUAGAUAUCUUUGUGGUAUAGAAAUGCCCACAAGGACAUCUUCUGCAGAGGAUGCUCUCAGCAUCAGAUGACCAAGAGACACUCAUUUUCUAGAUAUUGGGUAACCUCACUAGAACCAGAACCAUGACGCUCAAUGAAGGUUAUAAAUAGGCUCAAUAGCAUAAAAUUCCCUCUUCAAGGCUGAUAUGGAUACAGAGACUGCUGAUAUUUAGUGGCCUAUCUACCAACUGUGAGUAUCACCAUAGAACUUCCAGCCUGGUGCUGAUUUUGAAGUGAUCAGGAGAGGCAAGUUACUAUCCAGCCAAGUGGUAAGUUCAUUACUCUGGAUCCUUCCUGCUAUGAAGUGCAGUAAUUAAUCCUUAUGGGAAAAGAUGCCUAUCACUGAUAGAGAUGUGCCUUCCUGGUCUGCACAGCUUCUGCUUGCAUCAUGAUCCCUUUUAAAAAUUCUUCAUUGUUGUAUCCUGUGCAACAUUAUUUUAAGAAAUUAACAAAUUUUUUGCUUCCUUCCCUACAACUUCGGGCACACAACCCUUCUGCAAGGCAUAAAACCAUAGUUCCAUUAAUGUAGAAGCUAAAUCUGCUUUUCAAACACUUAAAACUCCUCUUAUUACUGAACAGAUGGGCAGAGAUUGACUUGUAUUAAUAAGAGGAAGUUGGUUGCUGCUUUACAAAGUGAAUAGGGAGUUCUAUAUCUAGAUUCCAGGGUAUUCUUUGGAAUACCUCUUAAUAGUCCCAUGACCAUUAAUAAAACUCAGUGGAAGGCUGUAAGGAGACAAAAUAGAGAGUCUACAAAAUCAGGGACUUGUGGGGUUGGGAAAACAUUCCUCUGGGCAACAAAGGCUGAUUAAAAUUUAGCCUUGAAGGAAGAACAAAUCAAGACUGGAGCUGUUUAUUCCCAUUAUUAAAACCCUUUGAAUAGAUUAAGGUAGCACACAGUAAAUCCUUUCAAUUGGAUAAAAUAGCUCAGGGAAAAGAGAUUAAAGGUGUGGAUUGCCCACCUCAGCCUGAUUGCCUAAGGCCUGUAAUUAAGUUGAGAAAAAGAAAGUAUAGGGCAGGAAGCAAGGAAAUACUGUAACUCUAAGAAAUGUAUCUAGAAAGUAUCCUGGAUGUGGCCAUUGGCAUAAGUAACUGACUAAGUCAAACAUCUUUAAAAUUACUAAGGUUUUCAGAGAGUUUACUGCUGAAGAAAAUAUGAGCAUGGAGAUAUAUAUAUGUGUCUGUAUAUGUAUGUAUAUAUGUGUAUGUGUGUGUGUAUGUAUAUAUAGAGAGAGAGAGACAGAGAGAGAGAGUGUGUGUGUUAAGGACCAAGAUUCUUGAUCUCUAACUUUCUAGGAGGCUGGCGAACCAACUGAGAAAGCUGCUUAGCCUUCAAAAAGGACAUAGCAUCACAGUCUCAUUUCUAGAUGAGCAUAUUUUACUUUCUAAGAAGAAGAAUAAAAAAGGAAUAAACAGUAAGAAAGAAUAGACAAGAACCAUUGAGAAAAGGUAGUAGGUAGGAACCAGAAUUAUAGUCUAAACUAAGAACAUUCUCCACUCUCCCAACAAAAGGGCUCUUCCUGACAUUUCUUUAGCAUGAUUUUAGAAUUCCUACAGACCAGUAAUUUCACUGUUUCCCAUUCCUCAGCAUUCCUGGUGAUAAUGGCAAUCUUGCUUCUACCACUGCAUGUCCCUGUUGGCACAUGAGGGGGUGGUAGAUGACAACUCAUCUGUUUGGUAUGUAGGUCUCCAGGCAAGGAGAUAGUCUGGAUGAAUAUAGACACUUGGCAUCAUUUGGAGAUCAUGGACAUUGAAGAAGAGCCAUGACUUGAUGGGACUUUCCUUGGGAAAUAUGUUGGUAUAUGUUUUUAUAGUUAGAAGGAGAAGAAUUCAAAUAGUGACCAGAAGGCAAACCAUUGUAGUCAUUAAUAAUGGUCACCAAAUAUUGUUCUCCCUCCCUCUUGGGCACGUGGAUCAGAUUAUACCCUCUGACCAACUUGAAGUUGCUGUGAUCAAUGAAACAUCAGCUGAAUUCUAUCUGUCACUUCAGGACAGAUUUUACAUAUCAGGGCACAAUUUGCCACCCCCUCUCUUUCACUCUGUCGUAAUUACCCAUAAUACUCCACAGAAUAAUUUUUUGAUUCUUCUUAACAUAAUAGUUUCUGCUUAACAUUUUUAACCCAGCUACAUUGAUAUUAGUUAUAUAGUAUGUUUCUAAAUAAAUCAUUUCUUAGGUAUAAUAAAACUCAAACCUUUGAAAGAAGUAAUGAAACUGGGUCUGAACAAUUAUAUACAUAGUUAAAUGGUACAUGCUUGUGUCUUAAAUCAAAUUUAAGAGUUCUCAACAUUCAGACACUGGCAAGGUGGAUGUAAGGCAUGAGAUGUAAGACACGUGAGUUUCCUCUGUCACACUGACAGUGUGCAGAAAAGAAGAGCCAUCAUUACAGUUAUCAUAUUUUAUUGCCAAGAACAAAUAGUGCUAGGCUUUUGUUUUAGUCAUAAUCAUCAUUCUACUCUAAACUGUGAAGCAUCUUUGAGAAUAAAUCUGUUCCUCUAGUUUUUCUUUUCACAAUCAGUGGAUUUUAUGCCACCAUAAGUAGAAGCAGAUAACUUGGUCAAUACAUGAACAAAUUACAAAAGCAAGUAACCUGGACUUGAUUUUCCCACUUCUUCAAGGACUAGUAAAUGGAAGAUGUUGUAUCAGGGAGAUGUCCUCUGCUGUUUUUAAUAGAUGAAGUUCUGGGCAAGUUUUGGAGACGUGCACUUUAUAGACCCUUCUACAUUAAAGUACACAGGUGUGAGGGACAGUAGGAGUCACAUGCUGUAAGACUGGACAACCAGCCAGAGGACCUCCGAGAUGCAACUGCAGCUGAAGCUGACACUGGCCUCUCAUUUCUUAAAAGACCAGUUAAUGAUUUCUAUGCAUCAGAAUCUUCUAAGGAGCUUUUUAAAUCAAGAGAUCACUUGAUUCCUCAUUAGAUUAGUUAUAUGAUAAAAUAGUUAACAUUUAUCCCAAGGACUUUAGCAGGAUAGAAUUCUAGUCAAAUUCAGCUUGGCUAAUAUACAAACACCUCUCUGUAUGUGUUAAUGAUUGUGUAAUACUUUCCACCACUCAAGAUAUUUAAAAAUAGUUCUCCUUUUUAUACUAUUUUCAUUCAACUUUAAGUUUCUCAGGGAAGAAAAAUCCAUACAAGAAUCAUCUAUGAACAGAAUUAUUUCUUUUUCUAUUAUCUCACAAGGGUAGAACUAGAACAAAUUUGAACCAAAACACAGUGGAGAAGUGAAAGAGGACUGUUUUGUCUUCCUCUCACUUUCCUCCGACAAUGCCCCACUCUCUCUGGCAGUUCACAUUUCUGAUCAGUCUGGUGUUCAAAUGCCAACUCCAGUUGUGGUCUGAUCAUGGAUUAAGGUGUUAGCCCUCCCAGAGUUAUUUGCACUUUAAUAAUGAAUUCAAAGGAUCACAUAGCUUUAAGAACCCAAAGCCUAAAACCAUCUCCUUGGACACAGUUCCCUGCCUUUCAAGUGCCUCUCCUGCACAGCUGCCUCUCCUCUCUAACAGAGGGCUUAGAUGUAGGUUGCAUGCUCUCCAGCCUCCCUGCAAGCCUUGUGCAUUUUCUCCUAUGGAUGUUUCCACUGCAAGCCUGACCAGAGGUUAAAGAGUCAGGUGAUUAUUGUUCAUAAACCACCAAAUGCAAUUACCUGACAGCAUCUGUCAGAAUAAAGGAUAGUCAAGAGACAUUUAUGCCACCCUUAAAUAUAUUAAGUUGUUACAGCCUAUAAACAUAAUACUUCAACUAAUACCACUUGCGGUGUCAGGAUAAAUAUAUAGAGGCAGUUCAUAUUUUACACUUAAUUAACGUGUAAUAAUAGGCUACUUUCUCCAUAAUCGAAUAACUGAGUCUUCUGAUAUGCUUUGGGUCAUAAGCUUGAGUGGCCUUACUCAGGUUAGUUUAAAAUAUACCUGCUAAUGCCUUUUUUUUUUUUUCUUUUUGCACAGAUAUGGGUGGUUUAGCAGAGUAGAUAAAUGUCAGGGAAGUCCUUUUGUUAUGAACAAUGAGUCACAAAAAGUUAUGGGCAUCAGAGGUCAUUUAUUGUGGUUCUAGGGCAUUUUGAAACUGAUCAUUAGCAUAAUAUGGUUGUGAAUCUUUCUGAUUUCUACAUGUGAGGAAUUAAAUGGGAAAAAGGCCAUCAAAGUACUAUUCACUUUCAUGCUUGGCUAAGAAAUCCUACAUAAAAUAAAUUUAAAUUUUAUGGCUUAAGUUUUGGGGAUAGUUAGUAUUUUAUGAAGAUGCUUCCAUGUUUAUAAAGACAGGGAGAGAUAUAUAACCAAAAACCAAACCUCUACUUUAUCUUAAAUAAUUGAUCCAGGUUGAAAAGGUAAUGAUGUUUGGGAGUUCCUGUCAUGGCUCAGCAGUAAUGAACCUGACUAAUAUCCAUGAGGACGCAGGUUCAUUCCCCGGUCUCUCUUCGUGGGUUAAAGGAUCUGGCAUUGCCAUGAACUGUGGUGUAGGUCUCAGAGGCGGUUCGGAUCUGGCGUUGCUGUGGCUGUGAUGUAGGCCAGCGGCUUAUAGCUCUGAUUCAACCCCUAGCCUGGAA
rnacentral:lncRNA from 1 species